AUGGCGGGGGCUGUUGUCGGGCAGCUGGUGGUCUCCCUUGGUGCGGCGCUGGCGAAAGAGACAGCUAUCUUUGGCGGGGCACUGCUCGGCAAGGAAGCCGCCGCCCUCAGGGGCCUCUUCGGCAAGAUCCGCGACUCCAAGGUGGAGCUGGAGAGCAUGCAGGCCUACCUGCAGGAGGCGGAGCGGUUCAAGGACACCGACAAGACCACAGCCAUUUUUGUCGGCGAGGUCAGGGGCUUCGCCUUCCAGAUCGAGGAUGUCGUUGACGAGUUCACCUACAAGCUGGAGGAGUGCAAGCACGGAGGGUUCGCUGGCAAGAUGAAGAAGAGGCUCAAGCAUAUCAAAACCUGGCACCGCCUAGCAGCCAAGCUCCAAGAAAUCAAAGCCCAGCUGAAAGAUGCCAAGAGGAGGAAGCAGGAUUACGCCGUCACUGGCAGAUUUGCUUCUUCUGCCAGAUCGAUAAAUCAAGGUCAAGCUCUUCACUUCACCAGGGAUGAGGACCUUGUGGGGAUAGAGGAGAACAGGGACAGGUUGAUACGGUGGCUGACCAUCGGCGGUUGUAGUGGUCAUGGUCUAGCGCAGAGCAGCAGCAAGGUUACCUCGGUGUGGGGGAUGCCUGGUGUUGGUAAAACCACUCUGGUUGCUCAUGUGUACAACACUGUAAAAGUGGAUUUCGACGCGGCGGCGUGGGUAACUGUGUCGGAGAGUUACCGUAUCAAGGAUCUGCUGAAGAAAAUUGCCGCCCAGUUCGGCAUCACAGUCGACGUCGCCGACAUUGAGAUGAGAGACCUAGCAGAGUCCAUCCACAACUACCUUCAAGGUAAAAAGUUCAUGGUCCUGGAUGAUGUUUGGGCUGCGCGUGUGUGGUCCGAGAUAAGGAAUGUCUUCCCAACGUCUAACUGUACCGGCCGAUUUGUUAUCACAUCAAGAAAGCAUGAAGUGUCACUGUUGGCAACUAGGGAGUCUGCAAUUCACUUGGAACCGUUACAACCACAUCACUCCUGGGUGUUGUUUUGCAAAGGGGCCUUUUGGAAUGAUAAUGUCAAUGAGUGCCCGUUGGAAUUGCAAGAAUUGGCUGGGAAGUUCAUAACAAAGUGUCAAGGCUUGCCUAUUGCUAUUGCUUGCAUUGGCCGCCUACUCUCCUGCAAAUCCCCAACUUCUGCUGAAUGGGAGGAUGUGUACAGGGGUUUGGAUUCACAAUUGGCGAAAGAUGUGAUCCCCGAUGCUCAUAUGAUCCUAAAAGUCAGCUUGGAGGACCUUCCGUAUGAUUUGAAGAAUUGUUUCCUACACUGUGCAUUGUCUCCAGAAGAUUAUGUAUUAAAGAGGAGGAAGACAAUGAGGCUCUGGAUCGCUGCGGGGUUUAUCAGGGAAAAAGAUGAGAGCAAAACAUUGGAGGAAGUGGCAGAGGGAUACUUGGCUGAGCUUGUGAACCGAAGCCUUUUACAGGUAGUAGAAAGGAAUUAUGCCGGACGACUGAAAUACUGCAGGAUGCAUGAUGUCAUACGCCUUCUUGCCCUCAACAAAGCCAAGGAGGAAUGCUUCGGUAAAGUUUAUAAUGGCUCUGCUACUGGGGCAUUCUCUGUAGACGGUGCACGUCGCAUAUCGGUCCAUGGGGGAAAUCUUGAACAACUGAGCCGAUCUGGCACAACACAUCUCCGUGCACUCUAUGUAUUUGGGAGGUAUAUCGAGGUCGAUUUGCUGAAGCCUAUCCUAACAUCUUCGAAACUGCUGACGAUGUUGGAUCUUCAAGGUACCUGUAUCAAAAUGCUGCCCAGUGAGGUAUUCAACAUGUUUAAUCUGCGUUAUUUGGGUCUUAGAGCUACUGGGAUGGAAAGCCUGCCUGAAGCAGUAGUGAGGUUGCAAAACCUGGAAGUCUUGGAUGCUUCCAAAUCUAAGUUGACGUAUUUGCCAAACAGUGUUGUAAAACUUAAGAAGCUGAGAUACCUGUAUGCAUGGUCUGUUGUUACAUCUGAGGAAUUUGAAAUUGGAAAUCUAAGUGGAGUCAAGGUGCCCAAUGGCAUACAACAGUUGGCAGGACUGCAGGCUCUUCAGUCCGUCAAAGCUGCUCCAGAGUUUCUGCGUGAAGUUUCAGCUCUGACAGAGCUGAGAACAUUUGGUGUCUGCAACGUGAGAAGUGAACAAUCUGCUGAUUUGAGCAAUGCUAUCACCAGAAUGAGCCAUCUUGUUCAUCUCGAAAUUGUUGCUGCAGCUGAGAAUGAGGUAUUGCAGUUUGAAGGUCUAUAUUUACCUCCAACCCUUUCUUCGUUUGGUUUAGCAGGGCAGCUAGAAAAAACAUCGAUACCUCAGCUUUUCUCUUCUUGGUCACACCUUAAUAGCCUCACUCGAUUGCACCUGGCAUUCUCCAAUAUUGAUGAGCAAACCUUUUCCUUUCUGCACAUGUUACGUGGUCUACGCUUUCUUGAGGUAAUGAAGGCUUUUGAAGGGAAGAGGUUGGAAUUUUGCGCAGGGUCAUUUCCUAAACUUCGAUUUCUACACAUAUGGGGCGCAGCACAACUCAACCAAGUUAGAAUAGAAGAGAGUGCGCUAAAAAUCCUCGCUGAGCUAUGGUUCACAGACUGCCCUGAGCUAAAGUUUCUUCCAGAUGGCAUCGAACACCUUUCAGCCCUUGAGAAAUUAAUUCUGAAAGACACGUCAGAAGUGCUGAUAAAGAAGCUCCAGCAGAAGAGAGAUUCAGAUGAAUGCAGCAAAGAUGCAAUGAAGAUUAGCCACAUAAGGAAUGUUACAGUUGCACUGAGCCAUAAUGGAUUUGAGGAAAGGAUUAGGUGA
rnacentral:rRNA from 1 species